rnacentral:pre_miRNA from 1 species
AGAUGCGGACGAGUGUGCCAGCAGGAGGCGGGGGGCGGGGCUGUGCGGCGCCCCCCGCCUCCUGGCCCGAACACACGGCUUAAAGA